rnacentral:rRNA from 1 species
AUGCCUAACACAUGCAAGUCGCGCGGGCGGUAGCAAUACCGUUAGCGGCGGACGGGUGAGGAACACAUAGGAAUUUGCCUUUAGGUGGGGGAUAGCCCAGGGAAACUUGGAGUAAUACCGCAUGAUGUCGCAAGACCAAAGCAGGGGAUCGCAAGACCUUGCGCCUUUAGAGGAGCCUAUGUCUGAUUAGCUAGUUGGUAGGGUAAUGGCCUACCAAGGCGACGAUCAGUAACUGGUCUGAGAGGACGAUCAGUCACACUGGAACUGAGACACGGUCCAGACUCCUACGGGAGGCAGCAGUGGGGAAUAUUGGACAAUGGGCGCAAGCCUGAUCCAGCAAUGCCGCGUGUGUGAAGAAGGCCUUCGGGUUGUAAAGCACUUUAGGCCGGGAAGAAAAAAUCAGGGCUAAUAUCCUUGAUCUUGACGGUACCGGAAGAAUAAGCACCGGCUAACUCUGUGCCAGCAGCCGCGGUAAUACAGAGGGUGCGAGCGUUAAUCGGAUUUACUGGGCGUAAAGCGUGUGUAGGUGGUUGUUCAAGUCGGUUGUGAAAUCCCUGGGCUUAACCUGGGAACUGCUUCCGAGACUGAGCGACUAGAGUACGGUAGAGGGCGGUGGAAUUUCCGGUGUAGCGGUGAAUGCGUAGAUAUCGGAAGGAACACCAAUGGCGAAGGCAGCCGCCUGGGCCUGUACUGACACUGAGACACGAA